UGGGAUAACUUCGGGAAACCGGAGCUAAUGCCGGAUAACAUUUGGAACCGCAUGGUUCUAAAGUAAAAGAUGGUUUUGCUAUCACUUAUAGAUGGACCCGCGCCGUAUUAGCUAGUUGGUAAGGUAACGGCUUACCAAGGCAACGAUACGUAGCCGACCUGAGAGGGUGAUCGGCCACACUGGAACUGAGACACGGUCCAGACUCCUACGGGAGGCAGCAGUAGGGAAUCUUCCGCAAUGGACGAAAGUCUGACGGAGCAACGCCGCGUGAGUGAUGAAGGUUUUCGGAUCGUAAAACUCUGUUAUUAGGGAAGAACAAAUGUGUAAGUAACUGUGCACAUCUUGACGGUACCUAAUCAGAAAGCCACGGCUAACUACGUGCCAGCAGCCGCGGUAAUACGUAGGUGGCAAGCGUUAUCCGGAAUUAUUGGGCGUAAAGCGCGCGUAGGCGGUUUCUUAAGUCUGAUGUGAAAGCCCACGGCUCAACCGUGGAGGGUCAUUGGAAACUGGGAAACUUGAGUACAGAAGAGGAAAGUGGAAUUCCAUGUGUAGCGGUGAAAUGCGCAGAGAUAUGGAGGAGCACCAGUGGCGAAGGCGACUUUCUGGUCUGUAACUGACGCUGAUGUGCGAAAGCGUGGGGAUCAAACAGGAUUAGAUACCCUGGUAGUCCACGCCGUAAACGAUGAGUGCUAAGUGUUAGGGGGUUUCCGCCCCUUAGUGCUGCAGCUAACGCAUUAAGCACUCCGCCUGGGGAGUACGACCGCAAGGUUGAAACUCAAG
rnacentral:rRNA from 1 species